UGGAAGGGAGCUUCUUCUGCCUCUAGCUUUGCUGGCUAUUCUAUUUGGUGUGCAUCUUUUGCUCCAACAAGUUGGCAUAUUCAGUUCUCAGAACUAAUGUACCUUCUGCUGAGAAGACAACCAUUGAAGCUGUUCCCUCGAUUGCUGCAAAAAAGGGUCCUGAAGACAACAAGCCUGCAUCUCCAAAAUCUGCUCAUAUGAGCCCUCUCAAGAAACCAUGUGAAUCUGCAAAAUGAAGCAGCCACACAGCUUCAUGUCCUCUUUUGUUUAACAUGUAUGCUACUAAACUUCUAGCAUGCUA